UAAAAUUACAUACAGUUUCUAUAUCAGUUUAAAAAGUAAACAUGAAGCACUACGUCGUAUUUCUUUUACUAAUUAUCAGUGUUCAAUGUAUGCCCAAUCCACGGAUAGCAAGGCAGGUUGAUGAUUAUGAUGAUGGCUUGGCAUUUAAUAACAACGGUAAAGGUGAUGAUCAUGAGUUCAUUGCUAACUCUUCUAGUUGUGCCGCAGGGAUGACUAGAGCGCCGUGGGGAACUUGCAUAGCAUGUUACGAAUACCAGCAAAAAUUUGGGCAUAGAGGAGAGAACUGCUAAGGAAAACUAUAAAAAUGUUAGAUAAGUCAGUUAAAGAAUUAAAACUAUCUUCCUUGCUUUCUUUUAAAUAACAUAACAGUCGAAGAUCUGAAUUAUGAAAUAAUAAUAAACCUGUUAAAUUAAAUAGAAUUAAAAAUAAUAAUAGAUAAGAUAGCAUAACCUCUUAAAAUAAAAUCUAGUUCCGGGAUCAUAACAUUUCUUAUGACAUUUGGCAAAUAAUAAAUUAUACUAUUAGCAGACUUUAUAUAUGAUAUGAUGCAGCUGUGAUACUUUUACUUCCAUGAAGAGUUUGUCAAUGAAUUCGAAGAUGGGAUUGAUUUGGUGAAACGGUUCAGGUUGGACAGCACCUACCAAGAAUAUAUCAACACACACUUGUGUAAAUAUCAGCGCCAUGUCCCAUUUGUCAUGUCAUCCCGUUACCAGGGUUCUACUCGAAUAAAGAACCUGUAAUUAUUAACACCAGACGAUUAAUAAAAUGACACCGUGAGUAAUUAUAAAAUGAUAAUAAUAA